rnacentral:rRNA from 1 species
GACAGAGGCCUCGAGCGUUAGGCGGAAUCACUGGGCUUAAAGCGUGUGUAGGCGGAUCGUUAAGUGCCUUGUGAAAUCCCACGGCUUAACUGUGGAACGGCUGGGCAUACUGGCGGUCUUGAGCCAUCUAGGGGCGACUGGAACAAACGGUGGAGCGGUGAAAUGCGUAGAUAUCGUUUGGAACGCCAAUGGUGAAAACAGGUCGCUGGGGAUGAGCUGACGCUGAGACACGAAAGUCAGGGGAGCAAACGGG